UUUCAGAACAUCAGAGUGAAUAUUUCAUAUUCAUUUCAAUAUUUCCAAGUAUUUUUCAAUUUAUAAGUGUUAUUUAAUCAUAAAAACAAGCGUGCAAGUAGUGAAGCACAUUAUUUACGAGUGUUAAUUGAUGGAAACAAGGAGUCAACAAUCUCGACAAUCGUGUGUCGUAUUUUACAUUUUUGUCGUCAACUCUCGUGAAAAUGUGAAAGCAUGGUAAGUGAAUUUUACUUAUUUUUGAUUGAAAAUGGUAAAUACGUGUAAAAUAAUAAGCAUAUUUGGGAAAAAUCGGAUCGUGUCAGCUAAUUUCUGAAAAUAUUCGCCACCCCCCACCCUAUUGCCCCCUCGCCCCUUUAUUAUUGCUACCCGACUUUCAAUAUGGCGUCAAAUACAUUGUUUAUUGCAAAUCCCGCUUUUUUUACUCACUUAGCAACAAUGCUGUGACCGUUGUGACUAGUAACGGAAAAUUGAGAAGAAAAUUUUGAUUUUAAUGAUUGUUUAAUUAGUAUACAUUGUGGGUUAUGUGUGUAAAACAGAGAGUCGUUUCGGAAUCAUGAGAAAUAGGUCCAUAGAUAUUCAAUUAAGAGGAAAUGUCGAAGGAACAAAGGAGUAAAAGGAAAUUUUUAAUAAAGGAAAAAAUGGAAGUAUGCCAGAAUUGAAUUUCGUGUGACAAAGGAGCAAAAGGGAAAUAUUUCUAAGUUAAAAAAUAAAAGGAACGUUAUCACCUCAUUUUCGGAAAUUGAAUCCAUUCUCAGGAAAUAAUUUGAAAAACAGAGAAAAAGGUCGUUUUUUGCCUAUGGAAAAGUACCAGCAGCAUACUGUGGAUCUAAGCAGAAGGUUAGAUUCUAAGUUCAUCCGCAUGCCUAGAAUUAACAUUUAUGAAUAUUGAAAAUUUAUUACUUUUAUAGAAAAUCCAAAGUUGGUUAAUCAACCUAUUACCCCUUUAAGAAAUAUUAAAGUUCUUAAAGGAAUGACAAGGUAAAUGCGAUUUUUAUAAAGAGCUUCAAAAGAAAAAUCGCAUUUACUUUCAGACCCCGCAUAAAAGUGAUUUUCGUAAAUUACUUAGAAUUUAAAAAAAAAAGAAAGAAUAUUUCGUGGAAGUAAUAACAGAGAUUCUAUAAAGAAAUCGCAUCGACUUUAACAUCUUAAGUUCUUAAGGACAUUUGAACCAUUAUGACGUCACAAUUUGAUUAGAACAUUUAUUCUAAAACUGUGACCAACUGUGACGUUCAUAAUGGUUCAAAUUUCGUUUAUAUCGAAUAUUGUUUCCUUGGUAGGCAGAUUAUCAAUUUUAGGAAAAACCAAUUUUUUGUACUACUGAACCCUUCCUUUUAUUUUAGUGCCGCUAAAAAUGGUUUUUGAUUCCAAAACCUUCUUUACUGCUUUUUCACCCACUGCUUCUUUGAAAAUUGUGAUUAAAACAAUUUUAGUUUUUUUUGCUUUAGGAUUUUUUAAAUUCCACGGUUUUUCCUGCAGGUUGUCAUGGUGACCUGCAAGAGUAAGAGAGACAGUGAAUUCAAAUGUAAUGCACUUUCUCUCUUACUCUUGUUGCUCCUGCA